ACGGGUGAGUAACGCGUGGGAACGUGCCCUUCGGUUCGGAAUAACUCAGGGAAACUUGAGCUAAUACCGGAUACGCCCUUAUGGGGAAAGGCUUGACUGCCGAAGGAUCGGCCCGCGUCUGAUUAGCUAGUUGGUGAGGUUACGGCUCACCAAGGCGACGAUCAGUAGCUGGUCUGAGAGGAUGAUCAGCCACACUGGGACUGAGACACGGCCCAGACUCCUACGGGAGGCAGCAGUGGGGAAUAUUGGACAAUGGGGGCAACCCUGAUCCAGCCAUGCCGCGUGAGUGAUGACGGCCUUAGGGUUGUAAAGCUCUUUUCUCCAGGACGAUAAUGACGGUACCGGAGGAAUAAGCCCCGGCUAACUUCGUGCCAGCAGCCGCGGUAAUACGAAGGGGGCUAGCGUUGCUCGGAAUCACUGGGCGUAAAGGGCGCGUAGGCGGCUGACUUAGUCGAGGGUGAAAGCCCGUGGCUCAACCACGGAAUGGCCUUCGAUACUGGUUGGCUUGAGACCGGAAGAGGACAGCGGAACUGCGAGUGUAGAGGUGAAAUUCGUAGA
rnacentral:rRNA from 1 species